rnacentral:rRNA from 1 species
AGCUCUGUAAGCGUAUACCAAAGUUGUUGCACUUAAAACGCUCGAAGUCGGAACUUCGCCGUUCCGGAUGUGGGCACGUCGUGUGCUUACUUUGCAGGGACGGCUUUUCGGUUCGGCUUAGGAUGAGGCGCUUUUAUUAGUGAACGUCCUCGCGCCACCACUCUUUACUAUGAGAAAAUCAGAGUGCUCAAAGUAGGCAUUUGCCGUGAAUGUAUUAGUAUGGAAUAGUAGAAUAGGACCCGGUUCCAUUUUGUUGGUUUGUUGGGACUGAGUAAUGAUUAAGAAAGACAGUUGGGGGCAUUUUUAUUUCGGCGCUAGAGGUGAAAUUCUUAGAUUGCCGAAAGACGAACUGCUGCGAAAGCAUCUGCCAAGGAUGUUUUCAUUGAUCAAGAACGAAAGU